rnacentral:rRNA from 1 species
CCUACGGGAGACAGCAGUGGGGGAUAUUGCACAAUGGGGGAAACCCUGAUGCAGCGACGCCGCGUGGGUGAAGAAGCGCCUCGGCGCGUAAAGCCCUGUCAGCAGGGAAGAAAAUGACGGUACCUGAAGAAGAAGCCCCGGCUAACUACGUGCCAGCAGCCGCGGUAAUACGUAGGGGGCAAGCGUUAUCCGGAUUUACUGGGUGUAAAGGGGGCGGAGACGGCGAUGCAAGCCAGGGGUGAAAGCCCGGGGCCCAACCCCGGGACUGCUCUUGGAACUGCGUGGCUAGAGUGCAGGAGGGGCAGGCGGAAUUCCUGGUGUAGCGGUGAAAUGCGUAGAUAUCAGGAGGAACACCGGUGGCGAAGGCGGCCUGCUGGACUGCAACUGACGUUGAGGCCCGAAAGCGUGGGGAGCAAACAGGAUUAGAUACCCGGGUAGUC